rnacentral:rRNA from 1 species
AGCGAACGCUGGCGGCAGGCCUAACACAUGCGAGUCGAACGAACUCUUCGGAGUUAGUGGCGGACGGGUGAGUAACACGUGGGAACGUGCCUUUUGGUUCGGAAUAACUCAGGGAAACUUGUGCUAAUACCGAAUGUGCCCUUCGGGGGAAAGAUUUAUCGCCAUUAGAGCGGCCCGCGUCUGAUUAGCUAGUUGGUGAGGUAACGGCUCACCAAGGCGACGAUCAGUAGCUGGUCUGAGAGGAUGACCAGCCACACUGGGGCUGAGACACGGCCCAGACUCCUACGGGAGGCAGCAGUGGGGAAUCUUGCGCAAUGGGCGAAAGCCUGACGCAGCCAUGCCGCGUGAAUGAUGAAGGUCUUAGGAUUGUAAAAUUCUUUCACCGGGGACGAUAAUGACGGUACCCGGAGAAGAAGCCCCGGCUAACUUCGUG